rnacentral:lncRNA from 1 species
UUUGUCUUUUUUCCACACUAGACAAGUGUGGGCUACGCCUCGAUAUCCAAAACCAACUGCAGAUGCACUAGUUGUCAUAUUUCACCUCCGUCGGUGAACAUCUUCCCAGGUCUUUCCUCAAAUUACACGCUUGCAUUUUUUGCGUUUUCCUCCAGUUUCGAUUUCUCACCUUGUCUUUUUUUCCACACAGACAAGUGUGGGCAUGCAUUACAGAUUUCCUUUCUCAUGUAGAGGAUGUACAGUAACUCUUGUGUGUGGGAAGAGAAGCGCUCGCUCUUUUUCUCUCUAUAUGUCUCUUUCCCGAAGCAGAAGUAGCAAAUAGCAGCAUAAAAUGGUUGUUUGGCAGCAUCGCUGUCAGUGUGUCAUUGGGAAUUGAAUGGCCCGCAGUUGGCUUACCUAUUAGCGCUCGCCUCUAAUUGAAUUUGGCCAGGCCAAUUGAAGCAACAGCUGCGCUUUAUUGAGUUGCUUUUGCUGGUGAAUGUGUUGAUCAGAUUUCCAUCACAUUCGAGGAAGGGAAGCUUGUAUACAAUCGAGCUGUGCAUUUUGGUUGGUAUUCAAACAAUAAAUCAUGUUUUAUGCUGUAUUUUUCAUUUGUUGCUCUUUGUAUCAGACAGACAUCUUUUCGACUUUAAUAAUACACUACAAACCGCAAACAGAAGGCGUUGAUUGUUUUAUUCCAGGCUUUUUCCAAUUGCAUGGAAGCGAAAUUAGUGUUUCUUCCUCGCUUUUUCUACCAGCGUUGAGGCAUGUGAUUAGUUUUGCUGUGUCUGCUUUUGCCUCUGUGUCUUUUUCAGUUUUAAAACUGAGGGUAAAUCAAAUGCAACAGAGGCGUGUUGAGACGCCCAGGUAUCAUUUAGCUGUCUCCAUCUCGUUUACUCUUAGGGCACAUUAGCAUAAUCCUUUCCCACUCUGCAUUUAUCUACACACGCUUAGGAAAAAAUAACUUUAUCAAAGCCAAAGAACAGCGGAUCACACUGUAAGACCUUUAGGUGAAGUAAUUGAGUCAUUUCAUUAGCAGACUAAAUUGCAUUGCAUUGGAACAAUAACUAUUGUUUCCAAACAGAUUUCCCAACACUCGCACUGUUCCUCGUCUGCAACUGGUCAGCAAGUAAUGUAGCCCCGCCCCCAAAUUCAUAUCAUUAUACACUCUCAUGUGGCACCGCCCAAACUAAUACCAUCGGACACUUAUCAUGUGCUACCCUGACUAGAAGAUCAAGUCUUUAGCUAAGUUUUAAUCAAUUAUUUUGUUGUAUUUUUAUUU